rnacentral:rRNA from 1 species
GACGAACGCUGGUGGCGUGCUUAACACAUGCAAGUCGAACGGAAAGGCCCUGCUUUUGUGGGGUGCUCGAGUGGCGAACGGGUGAGUAACACGUGAGUAACCUGCCCUUGACUUUGGGAUAACUUCAGGAAACUGGGGCUAAUACCGGAUAGGAGCUCCUGCUGCAUGGUGGGGGUUGGAAAGUUUCGGCGGUUGGGGAUGGACUCGCGGCUUAUCAGCUUGUUGGUGGGGUAGUGGCUUACCAAGGCUUUGACGGGUAGCCGGCCUGAGAGGGUGACCGGCCCCAAUGGGACUGAGAUACGGCCCAGACUCCUACGGGAGGCAGCAGUGGGGAAUAUUGCACAAUGGGCGGAAGCCUGAUGCAGCAACGCCGCGUGCGGGAUGACGGCCUUCGGGUUGUAAGCCGCUUUCGCCUGUGACGAAGCGUGAGUGACGGUAAUGGGUAAAGAAGCACCGGCUAACUACGUG